rfam:Ipomoea nil DNA, scaffold: scaffold2161, cultivar: Tokyo-kokei standard.
GUUCGGGUGGUGUAGUUGGUUAUCACGCUAGUCUCACACACUAGAGGUCCCAAUUCAAACCUGGGAUUCAAACA